GGGCUAGCGUUAUCCGGAUUUACUGGGCGUACAGGGUGCGUAGGUGGUCUUUCAAGUCGGUGGUUAAAGGCUACGGCUCAACCGUAGUAAGCCUCCGAAACUGUUAGACUUGAGUGCAGGAGAGGAAAGUGGAAUUCCCAGUGUAGCGGUGAAAUGCGUAGAUAUUGGGAGGAACACCGGUAGCGAAGGCGGCUUUCUGGACUGCAACUGACACUGAGGCACGAAAGCGUGGGUAGC
rnacentral:rRNA from 1 species